AGAGACAGCAGUCGCCACGGGAAUACGUAGGUGGCAAGCGUUGUCCGGAAUUAUUGGGCGUAAAGCGCGCGCAGGCGGAUCAGUUAGUCUGUCUUAAAAGUUCGGGGCUUAACCCCGUGAGGGGAUGGAAACUGCUGAUCUAGAGUAUCGGAGAGGAAAGUGGAAUUCCUAGUGUAGCGGUGAAAUGCGUAGAUAUAUGGAGGAACACCGGUGGCGAAAGCGGCUCUCUGGCUUGUAACUGACGCUGAGGCUCGAAAGCGUGGGGAGCAAACAGGAUUAGAUACCCCAGUAGUCCCUGUCUCUUAUACA
rnacentral:rRNA from 1 species